GCCCAGCCUGCUGGCGCGGCUGGAGGCGGUGCUGGCCGACCCGCGCCUACCCGACGCCGUACUCGACCACAGGCUGGCGUCGCUGCGCGCCGACUGGAAGAGCAAGUCGGAGCAGCUGUUCGAGUACUGGAGUGGCGAGGGCGGCGACGGCGGUCGCACCCACGCGCAGACGCAGGCCUUCGUGGCCGCGCUCGGCUGCCAGCAGUGCGACCUGCCCCUGCUGCAGUUCUGGAUGACCUCCAGCUGAGGGCGCUCCAGUGGAGAGGCUGCCCCAGCGGAGGAGCCGCUCCAGCGUAGGGGUUAACCUAGCGCAGGAGCCUCUCCAGGGGAGAGGCUGCCCAGCGGAGGAGCCGCUCCAGCGGAGAGGCUGCCCAGCGGAGGAGCCGCUCCAGCGGAGAGGCUGCCCAGCGGAGGAGCCGCUCCAGCGGAGAGGCUGCCCCAGCGGAGGAGCCGCUCCAGCGAAGAGGCUGCCCCAGCGGAGAAACCGUUCCAGCGGAGAGGCUGCCCCAGCGGAGGAACCGCUCCAGCGGAGAGGCUGCCCCAGCGGAGGAGCCGCUCCAGCGGAGAGGCUGCCCCAGCGGAGGAACCGCUCCAGCGGAGGGGUUAACCUGGCGCAGGAGCCUCCCCAGGGGAGAGGCUGCCUCAGCGGAGGAGCCUCUCCAGCGGAGAGGCUGCCCAGCGGAGGAGCCGCUCCAGUGGAGAGGCUGCCCCAGAUAACGUCGGGGCGAAGGAGCCAACCCUGUAAGGGCCUGUCCCCGCCGUGGGACGGCAGGGACGUCAGCCGGUCUCUCGGACACGUGACCACUCUAGUCAGAGAGCCGGGGUCAGGACCCCGGCUGGUUACCGUUGCGGUGCCGGGAGCAGGGCUCGAAUUAGCCGUAGACGCCGUCUUCCUGUGUGCAGCCGGUCAGGCUAACUGGCGGACGAGCGCCUUGCGUGCUGCGGGUGACGUUUCGCUGGCCGCGCGCGCCAGGGGCUCCCCUGAGCGCUGCCACCACGGCAGGAGGCCGCCUGCUGAGGUGGGCAGCUGCCAUGCCUCUUUUAUCGUUAGCGUGUGCCGUGAGUGGCCGCCGACGGAUGUGGAGGGACGGUUUGCACUGUUAAUGGAAUGUAUCAGGAAGCUUGGGCUGUCAUAUGUACCAUUGUUACGCCAAUCAUUGUGUGCUGUAUUUCAAAGAUACGUAUGAUAUGUU